rnacentral:rRNA from 1 species
UACGUAGGAGGCAAGCGUUGUCCGGAAUUACUGGGCGUAAAGCGCGUGUAGGUGGUGGGACAAGUCUGCUGUGAAAGUGCCUGGCUUAACCGGGCGAGGUCGGCGGAAACUGUCCGACUCGAGGACGGUAGAGGGGGGUGGAAUUCCCGGUGUAGUGGUGAAAUGCGUAGAGAUCGGGAGGAACACCUGUGGCGAAGGCGGCCCCCUGGGCCGGCCCUGACACUGAGACGCGAAGGCGUGGGGAGCGAUCCGG